rnacentral:rRNA from 1 species
AGAGUUUGAUCAUGGCUCAGAACGAACGCUGGCGGCAGGCCUAACACAUGCAAGUCGAGCGCCCGCAAGGGAGCGGCAGACGGGUGAGUAACGCGUGGGAACGUGCCCUUUGGUUCGGAAUAUUCCCGGGAAACUGGGAGCAAAACCGGAUAAGCCCUUCGGGGGAAAGUUUACGCCAAAGGAUCGGCCCGCGUUAGAUUAGGUAGUUGGUGGGGUAACGGCCUACCAAGCCUACGAUCUAUAGCUGAUCUGAGAGGAUGAUCAGCCACACUGGGACUGAGACACGGCCCAGACUCCUACGGGAGGCAGCAGUGGGGAAUCUUGGACAAUGGGCGCAAGCCUGAUCCAGCCAUGCCGCGUGGAUGACUGAGGGCCCUAGGGUUGUAAAGUCCUUUCGACGGGGACGAUAAUGACGGUACCCGUAGAAGAAGCCCCGGCUAACUUCGUGCCAGCAGCCGCGGUAAUACGAAGGGGGCUAGCGUUGUUCGGAUUUACUGGGCGUAAAGGGCGCGUAGGCGGAUUUUUAAGUCGGGGGUGAAAUCCCGGAGCUCAACUCCGGAACUGCCUUCGAUACUGGAAGUCUGGAGCACGGUAGAGGUGAGUGGAAUUCCGAGUGUAGAGGUGAAAUUCGUAGAUAUUCGGAGGAACACCAGUGGCGAAGGCGGCUCACUGGACCGUUGCUGACGCUGAGGCGCGAAAGCGUGGGGAGCAAACAGGAUUAGAUACCCCGGUAGU